rnacentral:rRNA from 1 species
UACGGAGGGUGCAAACGUUGCUCGGAAUCAUUGGGCGUAAAGCGCACGUAGGCGGCCUGAUAAGUCGGGUGUGAAAGCCCUGGGCUCAACCCAGGAAGUGCACACGAAACUGUCAGGCUUGAAUAUGGAAGAGGGUCGCGGAAUUCCCGGUGUAGAGGUGAAAUUCGUAGAGAUGUGGAGGAACACCAGUGGCGAAGGCGACUUUCUGGUCUGUAACUGACACUGAGGCGCGAAAGCGUGGGGAGCGAACAGG